CCCGCCGGGAAGAUGGCGGCGGCGAGGCGCGGGCGGUCGGAGCAGCGGGGCCGCGAGCGGGGUUGGUUUUAAGGAAUAAAAUCAGUGGGAAUUACUCCAUCCCUGAGUAACUCCGGCCUUAACCAGGCCUUCCAAGCACCCUUCUCACGCAUCAAAUAAUCCUCAGGGGCCUUCUGGUUUAGCAUGCACAGAAACAGCCUCCUAAAUAGCGGCAUAAAUUGAGCAAGCGCUGUAGAGGCUCAGAGCAGCACCUUCGCUGUAUUCUUCUAUUUGCCUUUUAUUUUAAUCCGCACUGUUUUAAUUCCCAUUUUAAAGUCCCCCGUAUUUACCUGCAGUACAGUCUAGACAGCUAAUGAAAUAGUAAAAGCCCAGUGGGUUUUCACAAGAAGGUCAACAAAAAGAGAAUCAGAAGUAAAUGGAUUUAGGAAGCGGAUGGGUGCUGAGCGUGCCACAGGCAGGGUAUCCCGGCUUUAUCAGGAAUAUUCCUGUCAUUCCUAAAAUCCCUACAGGAAUCACCCCCUUCUUCUGAGGACUGGGAAGGACCAGCAGGUCACAUUUCCAAAAUGUGCUUAAAGAUGCAGUCAGAUCCCAAAGGGGUUUUUCCAGACAGUUCAUAAAACCAACUUGUGAGUCACCACUGGAAGCUAAUGGGAGUAAGGCCUGGAACUUAUCUAGGUGCUUUUAAUAAAUCCUACUCUUUCCAUAUCGACAUGAUUAAAUGCAUAAUGUGCUUUUUUUAACCGUGACCCAGUGUUUAUCCAGUGCCAAGAGCAGCAAGCUGAGCACUAAAAUACUCCAUACUUCUGGAAAAUAGUGCCUGCUCUGGAGAAUCCAAAAUAUUAACGAGCAGCAAAACAUUCUUCAAGGUUGCACCCACCAGCUGUUCAGAAUUAAUUACAGAUGAUGAGAAGAGAGGAAAUUAAUUAAAUAUUGCUCAUGCCUGGUUCCUGAUCUUACAAACCUCAACAGCUGCAGUGGAGGAACACGGGAACGCAGAGCUGGAAUCCACAACUCCAGGUGUCUGGAGGAGAUACAGAAUUUUGAGCAUUUGAAGCUGGGGCUGUUAAACACAUGGAAAUUGAAAUAAAUCCCUUUUUAACUUA